CUCAAAGAUAAAAAGCAGUCAGUAAAUAUAAAUAUAUAUAUAUAUAUAUAUAUAUAUUUGAAUAAAAGCCCACAAAAUAUGUAACACAAAACACUAUACAUCAAAAAACCCAUGCCAUGCAACAUGCUAGUGAUUGAAUCUAACCACGAUUUCCUUGCUCAUUCCAUUGCUUCAACCCAAAUCCACCAUGCAAAGCUUCAAAGCGUAACGAGAAGCAUGUGAAUUUCAUCCAUCGGAUGUGUAACCAACUCCACAUCCGCAUCAUUCAUCCAUAUACGAGACUCAUCCUGGAACGAUGAACGUCGUACAUCCAU
rnacentral:lncRNA from 1 species